rnacentral:rRNA from 1 species
AUUGAACGCUAGCGGGAUGCUUUACACAUGCAAGUCGAACGAGUGGCGGACGGGUGAGUAAUAUAUCGGAACGUGCCCAGUAGGGGGGGAUAAAUACUCGAAAACGUCGCCAAAACCGCAUACUAUUGGAGUGGCCUAUAUCGGAUUAGCUGGUUGGUGGGGGAAAGGCUCGCCAAGGCAACGAUCCGUAGCUGGUUUGAGAGGACGACCAGCAACACGGGGACUGAGACACGCCCCAGACUCUUACGGGAGGCAGCAGUGGGGAAUUUUGGACAAUGGGGGAAACCCUGAUCCAGCCAGCCCGCGUGUAGGAGAAGGCCUUCGGGUUGUAAAGUACUUUUGGCAGGGCAGCGGUAUCUGCAUAAUAAGCACCGGCUAACUACGUGCCAGCAGCCGCGGUAAUAC